GUGGGGGAUAUUGCGCAAUGGGGGCAACCCUGACGCAGCAACGCCGCGUGAAGGAUGAAGGUUUUCGGAUUGUAAACUUCUUUUCUUAAGGACGAAGAAUGACGGUACUUAAGGAAUAAGCUCCGGCUAACUACGUGCCAGCAGCCGCGGUAAUACGUAGGGAGCAAGCGUUGUCCGGAUUUACUGGGUGUAAAGGGUGCGUAGGCGGCAAUGCAAGUCAGAUGUGAAAUCUAUGGGCUCAACCCAUAAACUGCAUUUGAAACUGCGUUGCUUGAGUGAAGUAGAGGCAGGCGGAAUUCCCCGUGUAGCGGUGAAAUGCGUAGAGAUGGGGAGGAACACCAGUGGCGAAGGCGGCCUGCUGGGCUUUAACUGACGCUGAGGCACGAAAGCGUGGGUAGCAAACAGGAUUAGAUACCCGAGUAGUCC
rnacentral:rRNA from 1 species